rnacentral:rRNA from 1 species
CCUACGGGUGGCAACAGUGGGGGAUAUUGCACAAUGGGGGAAACCCUGAUGCAGCGACGCCGCGUGUGGGAAGACGGUCCUCUGGAUUGUAAACCACUGUCCCCAGGGACGAAGAUGACGGUACCUGGGGAGGAAGCUCCGGCUAACUACGUGCCAGCAGCCGCGGUAAUACGUAGGGAGCGAGCGUUGUCCGGAAUUACUGGGUGUAAAGGGAGCGUAGGCGGGACUGCAAGUUGGGUGUCAAAUCUACCGGCUCAACCGGUAGCCGCACUCGAAACUGCAGUUCUUGAGUGAAGUAGAGGCAGGCGGAAUUCGUGGUGUAGCGGUGAAAUGCGUAGAUAUUAGGAGGAACACCAGUGGCGAAGGCGGCUUACUGGACAGUAACUGACGUUGAGGCUCGAAAGCGUGGGGAGCAAACAGGAUUAGAUACCCGAGUAGUC